UACGAAGGGUGCAAGCGUUACUCGGAAUUACUGGGCGUAAAGCGUGCGUGGGCGGUUUGUUAAGUCUGUCGUGAAAGCCCCGGGCUCAACCUGGGAAUGGCGAUGGAUACUGGCGAGCUAGAGUACGGUAGAGGAGAGUGGAAUUCCCGGUGUAGCAGUGAAAUGCGUAGAGAUCGGGAGGAACAUCAGUUGCGAAGGCGGCUCUCUGGACCAGUACUGACGCUGAGGCACGAAAGCGUGGGGAGCAAACAGG
rnacentral:rRNA from 1 species